CUUUUUUGUAUAUACACCACAAAAAAGAUGCUUCUUUAACGGAAUCCUGCCUACCCCACCUUUAAGCACAAGAUCAGUUAUGCAGUUGCUUUUUGAAAUAAAUGGUUAUCAAAUAAUGGGUUACAGUGCAACGUCUAAAUUCCUUCUAAAAAUAUACAGAAUCUGGUUAAAAUUGGGUCUAAAAAAGAAAAACGAGACAUCUAACAGCCAUCUAUUGCUCAGUGGGAUCCUAGUAAUGCUCCUGUUUUAAAGAAUGUUUUACCCUGGACUAUCCUCUUGCUCACCAGGUGAAUGAUCAGUUUUGGCACGCUUUGUGUGUGAAUAAGAGCAUGACUGGAAUCUUAUCCAACUGUUGAAGAAAAGAGACGAGGAGUGUUAAAUGGGAGCUAAGGGCGUCUGUGGAUGGAUUGCAGAAUCUCACCGUAAAAGGCAAACACACAUCAGAUCAGCCUUGGAGUAAAUUUCAAUAAUAAACUAAACAGGACCCGCAGAGUAACAGCAUCAAAAAUGAUGGCGUCUUCAGUUUUCUACUAUAAUUAGACCCAUGCAUAAUAAACACACACAUACACACCACCUUCGCUGGGUUAUUUUACAAGGAUUACGCUCGUGAUUACAUGGGGCACUUUUAUAGGCAGCUCCCACAUUCCAGCUUUUCUGUAUCACACUCCUGUUUUUUUCUUUCUUACAGUUCGACUCCACCUCCUCUACUUUCAUUUCCAGCAAAAAAAGAAAUUUAUACAAGCAGAGAGUAUGGGAUCAAGGGGCUUGGAAAUUAACAUUCAAUCACACUUUUAGCCCAGUGAAAGAAAUUAAAUUCAAGUGGGUUCAUGCCUUUUGCUCCCCUAAACUGUAUGCAACUACAUCUCCCCCUGUCUCUUUCUUCCUCUCUCUUUCUGCAAGUGUCUCAAACCCGUAAGAGCUGGUUCAAUAAGUGAAUGGUAAUCCCUGUAGAGGCAGAGAGCAGCGCCUUUGUAGUUCAGAGGGCAGAUUAGCAUGGUGACCGUGGAGAGAACAGAGUCCUUUGUCUCACUAAAAGCCUGGGAUUAGAUACGAGAACUGGCCUGCGAACUUGUGGGAGUUCUGUGUGGGUUGUGCGUCUGUGUGUUUCAAUAAAAUCAGGUCAAUUUUUUGCUGUUUUAUCAUCUUAUCAUGACAAAAAUGACUAUGACAAGUCAGGUGAAAAUACAUUUUGGUAGUAUGGUGACCAUUUGGUCAAGUUGUUCAGCACAGAAAAAACAAAUAAUGCGCAGAGUUAAAGGUUACAGUUUAUGAAGGAUUAGUGGUGCAGCAAAGAGAAUUAGCCCAACUGUAAAGCACUAAAGACGAGUUGAUAGUUGAAAGGAUCAUGAAAAGAAAAGGGAUGAUACUGAAACUGUGUGCAAAAAGGAUGAUGCUUGAAUUGAUUGCCAAAAGAGGUACGCUUGUAAAAAAAGUGCAUGUGUAGUGCUCACAUUUAAUAUAAAGAGGACUGUGUUUUAAAUUAUAGCCACAUAAAGGAGGCUAUUGUAAACUAGAAAAGCACUCGGAGAGCACAGACCUCCGCCAAGAAGCUCAUGUCCCCCCUUAAACAAGAAGCACCCUGACCAGGAUUCGAACCCAGGCCCUUCUGGCUGUGAGGCGACAGUGCUAACCACUACACCACUGUGCCGCCCAUUGGUUAUCUUUCAGCAUUGAAAAUUCCAACGACACCCUUAUUUUUGUGUGUUCUGGAUUACAGUAUCCAGAAUUUUGUCCGGAUCACCACCAGAAUUUAAUGGGAACCUCCUGGGGCUGAGACGCACCUCUGGUGAAAAUUUCAGGUCAAUCUGUCGGUUACUUUCUCCGUAAAGUUGCUAACAGACAAACAAACUCAUAAACAAACAAACCAACGCUACCGAAAACAUAACCUCCUUGGCGGAGGUAACAAGAGGAAAGGUUAUGCUUACAUGGAAAGCUGAUAUACUGUAUGAUGCUGAUGAUCAAAAAGAUCAACGUCUUCUGGAGAAGAUUUUGAAGAAAAUAAAGACGCCAUAAAGACGGCGCUCACCAAGACAUGUCUCAAGUAAAAGACAUGAAGCAUUACAUUCAAUUUUUAGUCCAUUUAUAAGUAUUUAAAAUCUAAACUCCACUUGACUUGAGUUCGAGUCUUCAUAUGCUGUUUAAGUUCUCAUAAACUGCUGUAGCAUUUCAGUCACAAAUGUCAAAAAAGGGUGUUUGUUCGAGUUGAAAUAGAGGUUCCUAUUUUCCCGCCAUGUUAUUUGCAAAUGUUACGCAGACCAUUCAAAAUGUAUUCUUUAGCAGAAAGAGUGCUAUAGAGCAUUCAUGUGCCAAAUGUCACAGACUGCUUUGUUAAACUGGUUGUUUUUUAUUCUGCAAAGUGAUGAAAUUAAAAAAAAAAAGUUUUCUUUGUUUUCAAAAAUUCACACAGUAUAGUCGUCCCAAAUUAAUCGGUUUGACAGGCAGUUUACAGACCUGACCGUAUCAAAAAUCUGCUGAUCCACUCUUUUGGACUGAGAAAACAUGUAUUUUAUAAAUGUCAAACAUCAACUUCAAGAUGUUGGGACUCUAUCAUUUAAAGAGUCAGUAAAGGUAGCAGCCAUCUAAGGGUUUCCCUCUGUCUGGGGGCUCAGUAUACCGUAGAUACCUGAUAACAGCAGAGCAGGGAUGCAGAAGCAGAGAUCAGGACACAGAGUGAGCAGAGAAAGAGGGAAAGACUUACAGAGGAUCAAGUUCUCGGAAAUCAAGGCACUGGUUUAAGCAAAUAAAUAAAGACGCUAUGACGAGGAAUGACUAGGGAUAGCUUAUGACUUUUAUUCAUAAUGCGCGCACACUCACACAAACACACACCCAUUCCACCCUCUACAUCAACAAACAUGCACCCGGAUUUAGAACCACCGAAAAAUGCCAGCAAUGAAACAGUGUUAUGAGAACAACCACCACCGCCAAGAUCUGGUCCUUGACUUUGCAUGAAUGUGUCUGUGUCUGUGUAUGAAUUAGUGCAUCAUGGGUAUUUUCUCAGACAAGAAAGGAAAAUUCAACGCUAAUGCAAAGUCACCGUUGAGCCUCUAACUUAAGGGUAAUAAGCCGACCACAAACAGCUCUCUCUGCGUACAUUUCCUCACCGCUCACAUUUACUGACCGCUGAAUAACUUGAAGACACUCUCGGGAGUAACCCAUUUAAAAAAUGAAAUGACCAUGCAAGGUUCAAGUGCAACUUUAUUUUAACUGCCUAUUUGUCUGGUAACGUGAGAUGCAAUUUGCGGCACAGUUCAACUGUGGAAAAAGUCAUUAUCUUUACAUUGAGUUCGUUUAUUUCAUCGUGGGGAAAACAACCCUCUCCCUGCCUCCAAUCUGCUGUUAUUCAUAUUACUAUUGAAUUUAUGAAUCUGAAAUGCAAUUUUCCUGUGGUUUUAAGGCUAUUGGCACCUUCUACCACUUGGACAGUCACACAGGGUGGAAAAAUACGUAUGGUAGUGUGUGUGUAAGAGAUUGUGUGCGUGUGUAGAGAGAUACACAGGGGUAUCGUUACACAAAACUAUCAUCUGCUGCCACUGUAACACUCACACACACACAUACACACACACUCAAACUGGAGACCAGCUGCCUUUACUAUAAAGUCAGGAAAUGUCUGACGAUUACUCAGAGAAGCGAGCAGUAUUAUAUUCAGGGAGGUAAAGCAGCACACUGUGAUUUCAGGUUUUGAAUUUAAGGGAAAACAACUUAAUCAUUACUUUGGAUUAACAACCUCCACAAAGCCUCAAAAGCCUUGCAGCAUGAACAUUGUUUAUUCCCACUGUGCCGUCUGCCGAGGAAUAAAUUUCUUAAAUAACACAUUAGGGUUAUUUCUGCCUUAACCACAAAUUCAACAGUUGCAUUUUUGUGGCCCUUUAUGUUUUAUGUGUUAGAACUGAAUGCCAUCAUUAAGUAAUGUCUCAUUACAUAAGGAGAAAAAUCAAAGUGAUGUACAGAAGAAAGUAGUUUAAGAAAAAGAAAGAAUUUGACUGAGGAAUGAAUUUAUAGGAGCAAAGGGAACAUAUUUGGACAAAACUUGUAGGAAUCCAGGAUAAUCAAAGAGGACCAAAAAAUCUUAUUUUGUAAAUUCAUCAAUAAAAAUCCAGUGACAGUACUUAACGGUCUGUAGGGGGCCUUAUGCUGCGUUCAAGUUACCUCGGAAGUCAGAUGUCGGAGAAUGACAUCACACCCGAGUUACCAGCGUUUCAGUAACCAAGUCGGAAAAAAGCGAAAUCAGAGGCGGAAAAAAAGAUGUUGCAGAAGGACCGCCUAUUUGUCCACAAGUUGCUUUUUACAGACAAGGCAAGUGCUAAAAUAAUUUGCGUAGAUGUAGCCAUCUUGUUUUCAUCUCCGAUUUUGCUUUUUUCCGAUCUGGUAACUGAAGCGCUGGUAACUCAGGUGUGAUGUCAUUCCCAGCUCCGACAUCUGACUUCCGAGGUAACUCGAAUGCAGCAUUACUCCUGAAAUCAAAAUGUUGAUACCCCUUUAUUAAACCACAGUUGAAGUUGGUGUUGUCGAAUAAGUGCCUAUGAAGGUCUAGUAGUUGGUUGACUUUAAUGCACAAGACGCUGCAGGAGUUUACCUAUCAAAUGAAACUGGAAGUCAAUGCAACUUUUUUUUAAACAAUCUGUUGUUUAAGUGUUUUUUUGUUUUGUUUACCAAUAAAUGUGGUUUAUAUAUUGUUUUCCUGAGUGAUGAGGGGCCCUACAUUACAAUAAAUGCCAAGGUCCUAACUAUUACCAAAAAUAAAAUCACUUGUCAUGAGUGUCACUCUUCAAUUGCCAAAUGGAGCACUCUUGUGUACACAAUAAUGGCUUUUCACCAUGAAGUCUUCAUGGAACCACUCGGCUGUCAAACUAACAACACUCACUGGACUAGAUGUCCAAAUGUCUGUGGACGGACUUUUCUGAUCAGACUGUAAAUGUGUGCCGGGAUCAUAUCAGGAGCGCUGACACAAGAAACUCUUCCAAAAACACUGUUAGCUAGUGAAAGCCUUGGUCUUCUAUCUAAGGUUUUGUAAAUUCAGUGGAUUUGUUAAUAUUCCAUUUAGUUUUGGAUUGCCUCUGGUAAACUCUCUGCAGCUCUCAAAUUGGCACUAUAGCACCCACUGUUGUAUCGGUGCUAGAGCUGGAAACAGCCACUGCUACUUUGUAUUUCUUUUCCAUUUGUUGGAGAUCUUUAAGUUGGCCAAAGUGGGUUUGACUACUUUCAGAUUGGUGUGAUUCUGAGGGACUGAAUAUAUUUUGUUACAGAAAUCUAGUAACUCCUCCAGAAAGCAGUGACAGGCUGGCCCGUUACCCAAAGACCAAGAGAACAUUGGCCCAAAAGUGCAAUUAAAAAUCCUCUACAGUCACUGUGGUGGUGAAACAAACACUUCACUUUCUGGAUUAAUAAAAUGAUUAGAAAAUAAAAUUAAAAAAAUUGUUUCAAUCAACCUUGAUCACUGAAAAUGUAUGGUAUAGUUUGUUCUAUUUUCCCUGUACUGAUAGGACAGCUGAAGAGGGACAGGGGGAUGUAAGGAGCAGAGAUUAGAGAGGGGAACAUGCAACAAGGGAUUCAGAAGGUCUUACAGGGAUAUUCUGAUGUAAAAUUAAUUUAGGGUCAAACACACUGUGACACCGAGUUAGACACCCCGUUGAGAGAUUAAUGUUGCCGACCGCUUGCUUCUCUAGUUAUACCAACUUUAGUAGAGACCACACGAUAGCAAUACACAGCGGUCUGAGGAGCCAUAAACAAACCUCAACCAAAACACCACUCUAUACCCACAAAUAAUACUCAGAACAGCACCUAACUUCAUCAACAGUACAUAUAGGGUCCAAGCCAUCACACUAUCCACCAAACAUCUUUUUAACUUUGCCUAAUUUCUUUAGCAAAGAGACUAAACACAACUCACCUACUCAACUCAACCAAAGAAGACCCUAACUUAAUUUUACAGUGGAAUAUCCCUUUAAGCCUCCAUACAUUUGAAAAAGCUGCAGGCCAACCCCUGCCCCAAAUGCACUGAAAUAUAAAAAUAUGAGGAUCCAUCUCAGCUCAAAAUAAAAACUUGUUAUGACACAAGAAAUGUGAUUACACCCCUAAAACAUGUUUGGGUGUUCGUCUUUUGACUCUGUUGCUGCUUACAUGCUCAGGUGAUGUUUGGUUCAUAUGUGUCAAAGUCCAAAAGUUAAGUCUUUGACAAUUCCCAAACAUUUCCCUCUCCAACUUUCAGGCAUGCAGAACGACCUUCUGUUUCCUCAAAGGUUUCUUUGUCCCAUUAAAUUUGUCUUUAUUGUUCUAAGUUCUACGUUUACACGUCUGCACCCGUUCAUCUGAGAGUUCAGAGAUGUCCUUAGAAGGGCAGAAAGGAUGUGACGUUUGGUUUUUUGAGCAAAGUUGUGGGAACAGUGUCACUCAGGAAUGUUGAGGCUUCGAAGCAAAGUACCUCCACUGUACACAAACACAGAGAUCCCAUUCUAAAUCUCCUAAAAUAUCGUCAGUCACAUCUCUGAGCUUGGAAGACAUAAUUCUGCCAGCUGCAGGAAGAGAACCGUGGCAAAACGAGGGAUACUGAAGAGAAAGAUGGAAAUAAACCACAGAUAUUUCAAACAUCAUUAUCAGGUCUGUUAACUUUCUCCAUUCAAAAGGAAGUAAAUGAAACGAGCUUUGAUCCAAACUGGGACAGUAUGACUUACUAGAAAAGCAUCAGACAGAGCUCCCAUGUCUGUCUACACUUUAUACACAGAAGACCUCAGCUGGUGUCACAGAUGGCUCUCAGACACAUCAAAACUGACUGCAUGAGCAUUUUUGAGGCAUUUGUGGGUCAUAUUUUUUCAUAUUUAUGUGGCAUGAAGUCUCUUUUCUAUGCCAGUGUCCUCAGGUGCAUUUGUGUUCAUAAGUGUUUAUGUGCUUGGCUGCAGCAACCUUUUAGCAAAUCAUUCACCCGUGCAUUUUUUUGCAAUGAAUAAAACCCUGCUGGGGCUUAGAUUUCCACCACACACACUGAGCUAGAGAUGAAAAUCAGGGAACAAGAGAGGGAUCUGCAUAGUGUAUGAUCUGGACCGCUCUGCCAUGUUUACACAGAGUUUUUUAUUACAGGCCAAAGGAGGAGGAAGCAAAAAGUCUUUAUCGCAUUAAUAAUAUCUUUGUCAGAUUCCUACAAGACACGGGGUGAUGGAAAAAACAGAUCUAGAGCAGAGAGAGAGGAGGUGGAGGAGGAGGAGACUGAACUGUAUUGAAGAGCUUUGAAUCAAAGAAACGAGUAACAAGCAUCUUGUCUUGUAUUUUUGGCAAAAAAGACAAAGGUGUACAAAAAAGAAAUGUUGUCCUAGUUCUUGUCAAAGUCAAGCAAAAUUGUUGAACACCUGUUUCAAAUGGCUGCACAAUGUCGUUUUCAAAUAUUGAUUUUGUAUUCACGCCAGCAAGUGACUUGAAAAGCAAAAAUGGAGCUGGAUUUGUGCCGUGACAAACACAGACGCACUUCUUUCAGGUAUCUAUCUUCAGACGCUGAUCAAAGCUACAUCCUGGUCAUGUGACCCAUGAUGGGAUCUGCAUUGCUCAGCCUGUUCCACUGCUCUUGUUCCCCACAGACGGUUUUCCUCUACAUGGCCAUGGCCUUGAGUUGCAAGAGAAUGAAUUUUCACAGACUACAAAAAGAGAGCAUAACUCUUGUGAUACGUCAUCCAGUCCUGUACUUAGAUCCUGCAUUUUUAUCACAUUUCCUCAAUAAAUCCUUUGAAGAUAGUUGUAAACUAUCUUUUUUUCAGUCAAUUUUUUUAUGUUAUCAUUGAUCCAAUAUUACAAUUAAUUUUCAGACGAACAGAUCAGCGUAAAGCAUUUUUUAACAGACACAAAACAAAAUUUCGCUUGAACAAGCCGCUGGAUAAACCUGCGAUGAAUCACAUUGACAAAAUGUACGACAAAGUAGUAAACUGCAAGGCUAGGUAGCUGAUUGUAGUUUUAAAUUCAUGAGACUACAAGCCUAAUAUCUCAAACAGAUGUCAGGAAUAACAUGACUGAGGAAGCAAAGACCUGGCUUACAGUCUAUUUUGCCCAAGAGUUGUGUAUUCGGAGGACGUAACAUCAGCUUUAGCCUUCUCGGUGACUCACGACAGUAAACAUUAUUGAGUGCAUUACAUGUAAACCCAACUCAGAUUAGAUCAAAUAAACCAACAGAUCUGUCUGAUUCACCAGUGAGUAGAAUGUGAUUGACUAUCACAGAAACCAUUGCAGGUGUACAGUGGGGCUCCAUGAUUUUGGCCAAAAAUAAAGUCCAGAUUUUUUUCUCUGAAAACUCGAUUUUCGAUUU